AUUGAGGGGCAAAUCAGAGAUCAAAAACUAAGGGAACUACUAUAACAAGGAAAAACCCUAAGCCGGAAAAAAAUCGUUACUUGAUCUUAUCUGAGCUGACAGAGGAGUCUCCCUUUGAGGCCAAGAAUCUCUCUCCGUACUCUUUCCUGAGCCACCCUUCCAUUUUCAAUGGAUGACGGCGGCUAAUGCAACGGAUAGAGGGGGGAGAGGGAUUUGCUUUUGGUCCAAUCGAAGAUCCGAUGCUGCGAUGAAGACUGCCUGCGGUCAAACAUGGUGAAGAACGCUUCAUGAGGGAGAGAGUAGGCCAACAUUGUGCUCAAGAUUCAAGUUUCAAGUUUAAAGCCAGUGUCUUUUUAGGCUUUGUGGAUGAGUUGAAAUGGAAUAUAACUUAACCAGUGUAUACUGUUGCUUCCUUUUUCUUUUUUCAUGUAAUAUUGAAUUUUGAAUUUGUUUUCAUUCUUUCUUUAUCAAAUACACUUCUCCAGUUCUCUGUAAA